CGCUGGCGGCGUGCUUAACACAUGCACGUCGAACGGCAAGGCCCUGCUUUUGUGGGGUGCUCGAGUGGCGAACGGGUGAGUAACACGUGAGUAACCUGCCCUUGACUUUGGGAUAACUUCAGGAAACUGGGGCUAAUACCGGAUAGGAGCUCCUGCUGCAUGGUGGGGGUUGGAAAGUUUCGGCGGUUGGGGAUGGACUCGCGGCUUAUCAGCUUGUUGGUGGGGUAGUGGCUUACCAAGGCUUUGACGGGUAGCCGGCCUGAGAGGGUGACCGGCCACAUUGGGACUGAGAUACGGCCCAGACUCCUACGGGAGGCAGCAGUGGGGAAUAUUGCACAAUGGGCGGAAGCCUGAUGCAGCAACGCCGCGUGCGGGAUGACGGCCUUCGGGUUGUAAACCGAUUUAGACUGUGACGAAGCGUGAGUGACGGUAAUGGGUAAAGAAGCACCGGCUAACUACGUG
rnacentral:rRNA from 1 species